AACGAACGCUGGCGGCAUGCCUAACACAUGCAAGUCGAACGAGAUCUUCGGGUCUAGUGGCGCACGGGUGCGUAACGCGUGGGAAUCUGCCCUUUGGUUCGGAAUAACAGUUGGAAACGACUGCAAAUACCGGAUGAUGACGAAAGUCCAAAGAUUUAUCGCCAGAGGAUGAGCCCGCGUAGGAUUAGCUAGUUGGUGUGGUAAAGGCGCACCAAGGCGACGAUCCUUAGCUGGUCUGAGAGGAUGAUCAGCCACACUGGGACUGAGACACGGCCCAGACUCCUACGGGAGGCAGCAGUGGGAAAUAUUGGACAAUGGGCGAAAGCCUGAUCCAGCAAUGCCGCGUGAGUGAUGAAGGCCUUAGGGUUGUAAAGCUCUUUUACCCGGGAUGAUAAUGACAGUACCGGGAGAAUAAGCUCCGGCUAACUCCGUGCCAGCCGCCGCGGUAA
rnacentral:rRNA from 1 species